rnacentral:tRNA from 1 species
GCUUCUAUGCCUGAACAAAGGAUUGCCUUGAUAGGGCAAAUUAUGCCCAGCUAUCCGCG